ensembl:lncRNA
AUGUGGAAAUGCAAAGACUGUGGGGGGGUCUAUACAAGAAGAUCUGAACUGCUCAAACAUUACAAACUUAACCACAAGCAUUAUGGACGUGGAUCCACAUAUCCAUGCACUUAUUUAAACUGUGUAUGCAGAUUCAAGACUUGGAAUGCUUUAUUAAGCCAUUUAUCCAGAAACCACCCUGUCCAAAGGUUACCCAAAGAUCCCCUAACCACUUUCAGCUGUCAUAUUUGUUUUCAUCAACUUUCAGUCGAAAAGGAUUAUUUUCAACACAUCUUUCACCAUCUGAAAAACAAGGAGACCAUAACAUGUAUGUACAAGGACUGUACCUACAAAACUAAUGUUUAUGUGAAUUUUAAAAGUCACAAACAUAGAAGACACUCUGGAGCAAGUGAUUUCAAGCCUGGGAUUGUUGAAAACAAAAUUUUAAACUCUGGCAGUGAGUCAUUCAGAAGUAUUUCAUGUGAUAUUUCAGAUGAUGAAAUACCUUGCAGCGAUGAGCAUGUUGACCCUGCAAUUGACAGUGAUCCUGUAAACUUGGAAAAAGAAAUAGAACUUAAACUAGCUUUGGUCCUUUUAAAAUUAGAAAACAUCUAUCUUGUAUCUAACAGAGCCAUCGAUGAACUGCUACAAGAGUUAAGCUAUUUGAUUGGCUCUGUAUCACUUCCUAUCACACAGAAGACUUUGACUGAAAUAUUACAGGAACAUAGUUGUGAGUUUGACCAAUCAAUCGUUGAAAAAUUAGCUAAUGCAUUGUGUGAGUCUAAUGCAAUUAAAAAAGCAUUAGGACACAAAGGGCCGCUUUCUACUGCGUGGAGAAGAAAGAAUUACUUCAAGAGACACUUUAAUGUGGUUGAACCUGUAGAAUUUGUACUUGAUCCCAAGGAGAAGAAAACUUUCCAGUAUGUUUCUAUUCUAAAAUCUUUGCAGCAAAUUCUUGAAUGCCAGACUGUAUUGGAUCAGGCUAGGAAUUUGAAUGACACAGAUGAACUGAAACAACCAACUGAACAAAAUGGUUAUGUGCAGGUUUACAAAUCAUUUUAUGAUGGUGCCUUUUUCAAAGAGAAUGAUUUUUUAUGCCAGCAGAAAAGUGUUUCAUUGAUAUUAUAUGUGGAUGAUUUUGAAAUUUGUAAUCCGCUGGGUACGUCACGACGGAAGCAUAAAAUCUGUGGCAUUUAUUGGGUUCUGGGCAAUUUGCCACCAUUGUAUCAGUCAUCUUUGUCUUCCAUCUACUUGGCUGCUUUAAUCAAAAGUGAUGAUCUAAAGUCCUUUGGUUAUGAAAACGUGUUAAAGCCUUUGAUUAAUGAGCUUGUCAUUUUAGAACAGAGUGGUAUUUUUGUGUCAAAGUUAGGCAGAACAGUAAAGGGGACAGUUCAGUGUGUGGUAGCUGACAACCUUGGGGCACACAGUAUUGCUGGAUUCAUUGAAAAUUUCACAGGGUCUUAUGUGUGUAGAUUUUGCACUGCGGAAACAGUUCAAAUUCAGACUACAGAAGUGAACAGUGGAUGUUUUUGUCUCCGGACCAAAGAAAUUCAUGAAGAACACCUAAGACAACUUCAGGACAAUGGACUGGAAAACUAUUAUGGUGUAAAGAAACAAUGUACUUUGUCGAAACACCUUUCAUAUUUUGAUGUGACAUCUGGGUUCCCACCGGACAUUGUACAUGAUCUUUUUGAAGGAAUUGUACCUUUUGAGUUGUCGCUUUGUCUUAGUGAAUUUAUUAAAAAAAAAUACUUCACCUUACUUGAACUGAAUGCAGCAAUACGAUCUUUCGAUUUUAAGGGGACAGACAAAACAAAUAAACCUCAUCCAAUCCCUCUUCACUUUGGCUCAAAAAAAACUGUUGGAGGGAAUGCCCAUGAGAACUGGAGUUUAAUCCGAUUUGUGCCAUUGUUGAUUGGUCAGAAAGUCCCCUGUGAAGAACCAGCUUGGCAUGUUUUAACGGACUUGAAAGAUAUUGUUGAUCUAGUUGUUUCUCCAAUUCAUACAGAGGAAUCCAUUGCUUAUCUCAGUUUCAAGAUUUCAGAGCACAGAAUUCGGUUUCAGGAGGUUUUCCCUGACUUUAAUCUCAAACCUAAACACCACUUCUUGGAGCAUUAUCCACACCUGAUUCGUCAAUAUGGACCGCUUGUUGCGUUAUGGACUAUGCGUUUUGAAGCGAAACACAGUUUUUUUAAGCGAGUUGCAAGAAAUAUAAAGAACUUUAAAAAUGUGCUCCUUUCGCUUUCUGAGAGACAUCAGUAUCAGACGGCACAUCACUUGUAUACAUGCACUUUUCCCAGGCAUCAACUGGAAGUGUCAGAUGUUUCCGCAGUUCACAUUGAUGUCCUUGACAAAGGGAUCUCCAAUGGAUUGAGAGACAAGUUUUUAAAUGUGGACACCGUGCACCUAGCUGACAGUGUGACGCAUAAUGGUUUGAACUACAAAACGGGGAUGAUCUUGAUUCAUGGAUCUGUUGGAGGACUGCCAGACUUUUGUGAAAUAAUCCAAAUGGUUACUAUGGAACAAAGAUUGAUCUUCAUUGUCAAGAGACUCAGUGGGUGGUAUAUUGAACACUACAGAGCUUAUAAACUCGAAAUAUCACCCGUUAAGGAAGUGGACCUUAUUGAGCCUCAGGAACUGCAAGAUAUAUAUCCCCUGGCUGAUUACAGAGUUGGAGGAAUGCGUCUUGUUACCCUUAAAAGAUACGUCCAUUUGUAA